rnacentral:rRNA from 1 species
CACGGGGGGCCUACGGGAGGCAGCAGUGGGGAAUAUUGCACAAUGGGCGCAAGCCUGAUGCAGCCAUGCCGCGUGUGUGAAGAAGGCCUUAGGGUUGUAAAGCACUUUCAGCAGUGAGGAAAGGUUAGUAGUUAAUAGCUGCUAGCUGUGACGUUAACUGCAGAAGAAGGACCGGCUAACUCCGUGCCAGCAGCCGCGGUAAUACGGAGGGUCCAAGCGUUAAUCGGAAUUACUGGGCGUAAAGCGCGCGUAGGCGGUUUGUUAAGUCAGAUGUGAAAGCCCUGGGCUCAACCUGGGAACUGCACCUGAUACUGGCAAACUAGAGUACAGAAGAGGGUGGUGGAAUUUCCUGUGUAGCGGUGAAAUGCGUAGAUAUAGGAAGGAACACCAGUGGCGAAGGCGACCACCUGGUCUGAUACUGACGCUGAGGUGCGAAAGCGUGGGGAGCAAACAGGAUUAGAUACCCUGGUAGUCCACGCCGUAAACGAUGUCUACUAGCCGUUGGGGAACUUGAUUCCUUAGUGGCGCAGCUAACGCACUAAGUAGA